GGAAUGGAGAGUAAGAAAGGUGGCAAAUUUGUGGGUAAAUCUAAGUCAAUAUUAACUAUAUAAAACAACAGUAAUAACUUACAUUUAAAGAGAUACAACAUAUGUGACAACCACAUAUAUAAGCUGGGAGGAAAGUAAAUGGGAUUAAAGUGUUCUAAGGCUACUGCACUGCGCAGAAGUCUGGGCGAGUUUAGGCGUUGAUAAGUCAGAGAUGCAUAAUGAAAUUUCUAGAACAACCAUGAACAGAAAUAUAUACAACAUCCCAUCUGAUAGGUAGAAGAAAAAAAGGAGUAACAAAAACAAAACUAUCAAAAAAAAAGUAGAAAAAAAGGAACAUAGAACAGAUAGGACACAUACUAAUAGUAACAACAAUAUGAUAUAAACGAGACACCUCUAAAAACUAAAUAUACACAAAGACU
rnacentral:lncRNA from 10 species